GGCUCCUUGUGAUUUAUAAAUAAGGAGUCGGACCUGCCCAGUGAAUUUUUUAACGGCCGCGGUACUCUGACCGUGCAAAGGUAGCAUAAUCAUUUGCCUUAUAAUUGAAGGCUUGUAUGAAUGGUUUGACAAGAGAGUAGCUGUCUCUUUAUAAUUAGGUGGAAUUUUAUUUUCAGGUGAAGAAGCCUGAGUAGUAUUGAAAGACAAGAAGACCCUAUCGAGCUUUAAAAAAAUUAAUGAACUUUAAAUAUCUUAAUAUUAUAUAAAAAAUCAUUUGUUAAAAAUUUUGGUUGGGGCGACUGGGGAACAAAUAAAGCUUCCUUUAGCAAAAAAACAAUCAGGUAUUGAUCCAAAAAAUUUGAUUAAAGAAUUUAGUUACCGUAGGGAUAACAGCAUUAUCUUUUUUGAGAGUUCUAAUCGAAAAAAAGGUUUGUGACCUCGAUGUUGGACCAGAAUAUCCUGAAGAUGCAGCCGUCUUCAAGGGUUGGUCUGUUCGACCAUUAAAAUUCU
rnacentral:rRNA from 1 species